rnacentral:tRNA from 1 species
UGGCUUAGAGGAUAAAGCAUCUGCCUGCAACGCAGGAGACCUGGGUUCAAUCCCUG